rnacentral:rRNA from 1 species
UACGUAGGGUGCAAGCGUUAUCCGGAAUUAUUGGGCGUAAAGAGCUCGUAGGCGGUUUGUCGCGUCUGCUGUGAAAGACCGGGGCUCAACUCCGGUUCUGCAGUGGGUACGGGCAGACUAGAGUGCAGUAGGGGAGACUGGAAUUCCUGGUGUAGCGGUGAAAUGCGCAGAUAUCAGGAGGAACACCGAUGGCGAAGGCAGGUCUCUGGGCCGAUACUGACGCUGAGGUGCGAAAGCGUGGGGAGCAAACAGG